ACCAGAGAUUUGUUAAAGUUUACAUGAGUGCUUUCACCCUUUUAUUUACUUUAUCCCUCUUUAUAAGAGGGAAUAUUAAUAAAUAGAUAAGGCGCAAAUAUAAAUCAAUCUUUUUGAAUACAAAUUUGUAAUACGUAUCACUCGUCACAUAAAAGUCUGGGGUCGAAUCGUUACAUCCGUGCACGGAUUGGCAAACAUACGAGAGAAAAUUACGUGAUACGUCAAACGUAUGCGGUGAUUGGCAUUAUGACUUACGAUAGCAAACGGAUCGUAAUAUAUUUUCAAUUCACAAUAGUUUUUAAAUUCCACAUUGCUUUGGAUAGUAUUUAUAGGUCACAAUAGAUGAGGAACUGUCAAAACUGUUGCGAAAUUUUCAAUAAACUAGCAAAAGCUAAUUAAAUAUCAAAAUGAAUCAAAUUUUGUUUUGUUUUAUUUGAGCUCCAGUGAAAGUGAUGGACAUAAAAAAAUAGUGCGAAGAUAGCUAGGAGAUCCUAGAAAUAGCAUGUAUCGUUGAACAAAGCAUUGGAAUCUUAAAAGGACGGUGGAGUAUUUUAGGAUAUGGCAAGAGAGGAAGGUAACACCGUGGAAGAUUUGCUAACGUUUGUGAGGCAUUACAUAAGCAAUAAGUUGCGACCCUCAAAAUUGCGAUACUUAUCACACAUAAGAAAUGGACACCGGGGUAGCGAACCGCCUCACCGCAAUCGACCAAACGUUAAGAGACCAAAUAAAUAAUUUACAUUCAAAAAUGUAAACCUUGUAAAUAAUUUUAUUUUUAUUGUCAAGUAAAAUACAAAAAUCCAAAUACCGUGGAAAUCUACGGUAUCCUACGGUAAAGCGAGCGGUAGAAGCGGUUUUGGUUAAUCAUUUACAUUGCACUCUCAUAAGAUAGGUUGUAUUAGCUGAUUCCGGCUGCGGUUUUGCGAAAUUCGCUAGUCAAGCUAUAAGUCGGCAGCGACAUAUCAAAUAUUGGGUAGUCGAAAAAGUCUUUUCGUAUUUUGUCAAUAGGUGUCGUACAUCUCCAGUGCUACCAAUCACAUUACGGGUAUUCUCUUGCUCUUGCAAGAUUGCAGAUUGCAAAAAUACUACACCGAAAUAUACAAGGGCACGAGAGCACCCAUUGCAGAAUCUAGUGAUAUAUGAACGACUGAUUCAGUCAAUUUAUUGUAAAUGACUAUUGUGCAUGGCUAUUGUGAAUUGGCGCACCUUCUGUAUACAUUUUUAACAAAAAAAAACUGUAACAAAACUUUAUAAUUUAAAUAGAAAUUAUAAAAUCUAAUUAAAAUUUAACAAUUAACAAUUUAACGACGUAAUAUGUCUUUAUGUAAAAUGGCAACUACAACAGGGUUGUAAUUUUAUUUUUGCGUGACAUUGCACGCAAAUAUACAUGGGUUUUGGUCUGACAUAUUUUACAGCUCUUGCAAAUAUUUUUCUGCGUGUGUUUGUUGUUGUGCCGUUGUAAAUCUGCAAUCCUUGCACCGUGCACUGGGUUUCGCAAGAGCAAGAGAAUACCCCUAUUGUGUCUCACCAUAUCGCUGAAAAGGAAUUAAAUGCGGGAAAGAUGAAAGACAGUUACAGCUGUUCAAAAAUGAGUGAAAAUAAUGAAGAACUUCGCUAUAUUUUGAAAUUUUGUGAAGUUUACGGAGAGAUUUGUGAAGUUUACGGAGACAAUGAUGUAUGAGUUCGUGUAGCACAAUAAUGGUUCAAUUGCUACCGAUCUGGAAAUUUCGAUUUACACUGAUGAAAUAAUGACUCUAGCGGAAAAAUGACAAAAAGUGGUCUACCAAAAUGGUAUACAUAUAUGUAUUUCUUUAUUUAUUAGUAAAAAUAUAAAAAAAAUAAGUUGAAGUUUGAUUCAUUGUAUAACAUUGGUUUAUACAAUGGUUUGAUUAGACAACGGAAAGACUUUUUCGACUACUCAUUAUUAUUUUAGCAACACAAUGGUCGGCAUGUACACAAAACAACACAGCUGUCCACUUUGUAUGCACACAAUUUACGUAAAUAUUAUUAUCUUAAGAAAAUAGCCCCCUAAUAUUUCAUUAAGCAUUCCUCUAUACAAAUAAAUCACUAUUAUUAAUAAUAUGCUCUCAGAUGAAAUGUCUCUGGCGCCAUGCCGUGGAAAUAACGGCAAAAAUUAAAACAAAAAACCAACAGACAACUUUACCGACAAA